rnacentral:rRNA from 1 species
UACGGAGGGUGCAAGCGUUGUCCGGAAUUAUUGGGCGUAAAGAGCUCGUAGGUGGCCUGUCGCGUCGGCUGUGAAAACUCGGGGCUCAACUCCGAGCUUGCAGUCGAUACGGGCAGGCUAGAGUUCGGCAGGGGAGACUGGAAUUCCCGGUGUAGCGGUGAAAUGCGCAGAUAUCGGGAGGAACACCGGUGGCGAAGGCGGUUCUCUGGGCCUUACCUGACGCUGAGGAGCGAAAGCGUGGGGAGCGAACAGG